AUGCAAGUCGAACGGUAUAUAGUCUUCGGAUUAUAGAGAGUGGCGAACGGGUGAGUAACACGUAGAUCAUCUACCUUGAAGUGGGGGAUAGUCCAUGGAAGCAUGGAGUAAUACCGCAUAUGUCUUCGGAUGAAAGUUCCAAUCGGAACGCUUUGGGAUGAGUCUGCGGCUCAUUAGCUUGUUGGUGGGGUAAAGGCCUACCAAGGCAACGAUGAGUAGCCGGCCUGAGAGGGUGAACGGCCACACUGGGACUGAGACACGGCCCAGACUCCUACGGGAGGCAGCAGCUAAGAAUCUUCCGCAAUGGACGCAAGUCUGUCGGAGCGACGCCGCGUGAACGAUGAAGGCGGAAACGUUGUAAAGUUCUUUUCCUGAUGAAGAAUAAUGAGAGGAGUGGAAAGCCUUUCAGAUGACAUUAUUCAGGGAAUAAGCCCCGGCUAAUUACGUGCCAGCAGCCGCGGUAAUACGUAUGGGGCAAGCGUUGUUCGGAUUUAUUGGGCGUAAAGGGCGCGCAGGCGGUUUAACAAGCUUAAUGUGAAAUAUCCCGGCUUAACUGGGGACACGCGUUGGGAACUGUUAGACUAGAGUUUAGAAGGGGAAACUGGAAUUCCUAGUGUAGGGGUGAAAUCUGUAGAGAUUAGGAAGAACACCAAUGGCGAAGGCAAGUUUCUGGUCAUAGACUGACGCUGAGGCGCGAAAGCGUGGGGAGCGAACAGGAUUAGAUACCCUGGUAGUCCACGCUGUAAACGAUGUGCACUAGGUGUAGGAUAUUGAAUAUAUUCUGUGCCGUAGCUAACGCGUUAAGUGCACCGCCUGGGGAGUAUGCUCGCAAGGGUGAAACUCAAAGGAAUUGACGGGGGCCCGCACAAGCGGUGGAGCAUGUGGUUUAAUUCGAUACGCGAGAAACCUUACCAGGGCUUGACAUUUACAUGACGGUUUAAGAGAUUAGGCCUUCCUUUCGGGGACAUGUAAACAGGUGCAGCAUGGUUGUCGUCAGCUCGUGUCGUGAGAUGUUGGGUUAAGUCCCGCAACGAGCGCAACCCUUAUUGUCUGUUGCCAGCAUUUCGGAUGGGGACUCAGACAAAACUGCCGGUGACAAACCAGAGGAAGGUGGGGAUGACGUCAAAUCAUCAUGGCCCUUAUGUCCUGGGCUACACACGUGCUACAAUGGCAAGUACAAAGCGUUGCGAAAAGGUGACUUCAAGCUAAUCGCAAAAAGCUUGCCUCAGUUCGGAUUGGAGUCUGAAACUCGACUCCAUGAAGUUGGAAUCGCUAGUAAUCGCGCAUCAGCAUGGCGCGGUGAAUAUGUUCCCGGGCCUUGUACACACCGCCCGUCACACCACCCGAGUUGGGGGUACCCGAAGUCGCUAGUCUAACUUUUAGAGGACAGUGCCGAAGGUAUGCCUGGUAAGGGGGGUGAAGUCGGAACAAGGUA
rnacentral:rRNA from 1 species